rfam:Verticillium longisporum isolate VL1 genome assembly, contig: scaffold_25
GGGCGUGUGGUCUAGGGGUAUGACAUCUGCUUAGCAUUGAUCUGAUCAAUUCUGAACUGCUGAAGGUCCCGGGUUCAAUUCCCGGCGUGUCCA